UACGUACCGUCCAAACGUUAUUCGGAAUUACUGGGCUUAAAGGGUAUGUAGGCGGCGCUGUUAGUCGGGUGUGAAAUCCCACGGCUCAACCGUGGAAUUGCGCCCGAUACUGCAGUGCUUGAGGGAGACAGAGGUAAGCGGAACUGAUGGUGGAGCGGUGAAAUGCGUUGAUAUCAUCAGGAACACCAGUGGCGAAAGCGGCUUACUGGGUCUCUUCUGACGCUGAGAUACGAAAGCCAGGGGAGCGAAUGGG
rnacentral:rRNA from 1 species